rnacentral:lncRNA from 1 species
CGGGUUUGAGAGGGAAAAGAAUUUGAUAAAAAGACUAGAUUUAACUAGAGGUGUUUAGGAGAAAAGGAAUAAGAUAUUCGGCUUUAGAGGGAAAGAGGAAAAAGGAAAGUAAAUGGAGAGGAAGAAAACAACAAUCGGUUGCGUCAAUGAUUUGAGAGACUUAGAAGUAUUCGGCCACCAAAGAGAAUAAUAGAAAGAUAUGUCAAAGAAGGGGAUGAUGAACAGAUUCGGCAGGCUGUGAAGGGAAAUAAUUGAUCACU